GCUUGCUUCUAUGACGUUAGCGGCGGACGGGUGAGUAACACGUGGGCAACCUGCCUGUAAGACUGGGAUAACUCCGGGAACCGGAGCUAAUACCGGAUAACAUUUUCUCUUGCAUAAGAGAAAAUUGAAAGAUGGUUUCGGCUAUCACUUACAGAUGGGCCCGCGGUGCAUUAGCUAGUUGGUGAGGUAACGGCUCACCAAGGCAACGAUGCAUAGCCGACCUGAGAGGGUGAUCGGCCACACUGGGACUGAGACACGGCCCAGACUCCUACGGGAGGCAGCAGUAGGGAAUCUUCCGCAAUGGACGAAAGUCUGACGGAGCAACGCCGCGUGAGUGAUGAAGGCUUUCGGGUCGUAAAACUCUGUUGUUAGGGAAGAACAAGUACAAGAGUAACUGCUUGUACCUUGACGGUACCUAACCAGAAAGCCACGGCUAACUACGUGCCAGCAGCCGCGGUAAUACGUAGGUGGCAAGCGUUAUCCGGAAUUAUUGGGCGUAAAGCGCGCGCAGGCGGUUUCUUAAGUCUGAUGUGAAAGCCCACGGCUCAACCGUGGAGGGUCAUUGGAAACUGGGGAACUUGAGUGCAGAAGAGAAAAGCGGAAUUCCACGUGUAGCGGUGAAAUGCGUAGAGAUGUG
rnacentral:rRNA from 2 species